CAUAGCGCCUGUGCUUUUCGGUACCCUAAGGCGGUACCAGAAUAAGGGCUGGGCAAGACCGGUGCCAGCCGCCGCGGUAAUACCGGCAGCCCAAGUGAUGGCCGAUCUUAUUGGGCCUAAAGCGUCCGUAGCUGGCCGCGCAAGUCCAUCGGGAAAUCCACCUGCUCAACAGGUGGGCGCCCGGUAGAAACUGCGUGGCUUGGGACCGGAAGGCGCGACGGGUACGUCCGGGGUAGGAGUGAAAUCCCGUAAUCCUGGACGGACCGCCGAUGGCGAAAGCACGUCGCGAGAACGGAUCCGACAGUGAGGGACGAAAGCCAGGGUCUCGAACCGGAUUAGAUACCCGGGUAGUCCUGGCCGUAAACAAUGUCUGCUAGGUGUGGCUCCCACUACGAGUGGGUGCUGUGCCGCAGGGAAGCCGCUAAGCAGACCGCCUGGGAAGUACGUCCGC
rnacentral:rRNA from 1 species